rnacentral:lncRNA from 1 species
GCUCGCUUUACUAUCGCUCCAUGAAUCCAUUAAACCAGAAAAUUGCAAGGGACAUUUAAUAAAACAUCAAAAACAGACUAAUAAAUUUAUACCGACUACAAACAAGACCAAGUUUGCAGGAUCUACACACUAAAACAGACUACCCAGAAAGAGAUUCUAAAUUUAUAUAGAGUACUGUAGAACAAGGCUUUAUGGAAACUAAAUUAUAUCUAUAUCUCUGUUGAGCUGAUCAGGCCACAGCCUUCUUAGUUUUCUUGGCAGCAGGGGACUUUAUAGACUUGGGUUGCUUGGCCUUUGCCUUAGUUGGUGUCGCUCUCUUCUUCGUCUUCUGCACAGGCUUUGCUUUUGGUUUUGUGGUUGCUUCCGCCACCGCCUUUGUCUUCUUCACCGCUGAUUUCCCCUUGGAAACACCUUUUGCUGCACCGGACUUAAUUUGUUCCGACUUCUUCGUCUUCUGCACAGGCUUUGCUUUUGGUUUUGCGGUUGCUGCCGCCACCGCCUUUGUCUUCUUCACCGAUUCAUUUCCCCUUGGAAACACCUUUUGAGACAUUUGCUAACUUUUUCGACUAAAAUAAUUUUGGAAACCAAAUUUUCAAUAUUUUACAAACCGUAAGUUGACGAUGUUGUGCUGGAGAAAUGAAUCCUUCCUCUUUGGGUGUCGAAUUCAAAUCAAGUAAUGGCUUCACUUGACGAUCUUGUGUCGGAGAAAUGAAUCCUUCAUCUUUUGGUGUUGAAUUCAAAUUAUUUAUCGUGGUUGCUUUAGUGAA